CCACCACAAUGAGAAGCCUGUGCACUGCAUUGCAGCCAAAAAUAAAUAAAUAACUUUUUUUAAAAAAUCAAUUAAAAAAAUAAAAACAUAGGUAAUAAGUACUCUAAACUCAAUUCAACACUUCCUAAUUACUGUACUAUUAUCUAUGCUCUUGAGGAUGUUUCUGCUGACUCUUAUCUAUCUGUAUGGAGGAAAUACUAUCUAUGGUGUGCUGCUGCACACCUCUUCACAACUCUGUAUUUAGCGAUGUCAUGACAAAAACCACAGACUGGAGCUUUAUCCUCCCAGAGACCCAGUUAAACAUUUGCCCUCACACCACUGCUCUAAGCCCGUAAAAUGCUACUUGAUCAUAUAUUAAGUUUUAAUAACCGAAUCCUCAUUUUGAUGUGUUUUUAACAUCAUUCUUCUUUCUUCCAGUUUCAAGAUUUGUGCAACCAGUUCAUAGAAAGGUUUCUAUCAAGACGUAUGCUUUGUCCUUUCAACCUUGUCCAAACUAGAUAGUUUCACCGUCUGCAACAGAAGCUGUCUAACAGAAGAUCAACUUUUGUUUUAUUGAGUAACAGAAAUUGCCUCAAAGUGUACGUGCCAACAUCGCUUUCCUGGUUCUAUGGCACCUCCUGAGAGAAGAACUUCAUUUCUACGGGAGUUGGUGAUUGAGGUGAAUCCUGUAAUAAAAGUAGGUUCACAGGGUACAUCCCCAGGGGUGAUUGACUAUGACCAGGAGCUCCUGAGCUUUGAACGCUUCCCUUGAAAUUUGCUUCCACACGCAGACAGCGGCACAGGCGGAUGUGGGUCUGGGCCUUCUCCCAAGAGAAGGGAGCACUGAACACUUCAGCUUACGUAUCUCCUCGGGGCUCCUUAGUCGGGGGGCGGGGGGGAGAGGUGAGGAAGCUGCUGCUGUGAAGUACUCCCUUUGUGGGGAGACCUGGAGUAGUCAGAACUUGGGGUGUCAAGGGAAACCUGGCUGACACACCACAGUAGGUCCCCAGGUUCCCAGGUACAGAGGCCUCUCCAUUUCCCUCCGAUGUCUUGGACUGGGCAGAGGGUGCAAGGACAGGGCCUCUCAGAGCUGUGCUUCCCAACAGGGGAAGAGACGGGGUGGACGGACUCUGUCGAGAAAUGAUGGGCACUGGAGAAGCUGGACAUGCGCCACCGUGCUGACAGGGGGUCUUAUUCCAUCUGGUGCUCCAAAAACACUGGAAGGCCACAAAGCUAGCAAGUGUGCUGCCUUCCUGUCGGAGCAGUGCACAUAUGACUUCUGUAGGAGAUAAAGGGAGCAUCUGAGGCUGGGGUGACAUGCAAUAGGUAAGUGUGGUUGAAGUUGGGCUAAACUGGGAAACUGGUUUGGCUUUUGCCUGAUUUGCCUACAUUUUGAAUGCCAUCUGUCCUCUGAGAUACAGAACUUAGAGAAUGGGGAAGCAAUUCCUGGGGACAGGUCCAUGUCAGUGUCCCCAAGUAGAAAGGCCCUAAAGCAUCCUUAGAUCCCUGCUGUACCCUGGUCACUGCCACCCACCACCAGAGUCAUUUGCAUGCUGGUGCUUUGACUGAACAGUUAAGAUGGGCUAGAUAUUUUCUGUCCUUUCAUUUUUCUCCCCUUUAUUACCAGUGUGUCACAAUGAUAGGACAUCUUCAACAAAGAAAUCUUUUUGGCACAAGUGAGCGAUACUCCACAAACCCCAUGACUCGUCAGUGUCCUUUCAUUUGGCCUAAUAUCUUUAUAUCCUUCUUGUCUCCAUUGACCUAUUUUUCAUCACCAGUUUCCCAUUAGAGUAGUAAAGUGCCAUGAACAAAAACUAUAAAUAGGUCAAAGUUUUUCUUGAGCCCAAGUUCUGUUGGUCUUGCUAAGGGAGCCACAGAGCUUUUUAGGCAAGAGUUAGAGCCUACAAACAUCCUAGUCAUUAUGUCCUAAAUGAUUAAAUUUUUGGUUGGUGUCGUUGUUAUUUUAGGAUUUCCUUCAGGAUGAUAUUAGAAUUGAAAUGGUUAGUUUCAGCUUUAUAUCUUCUAAACUUAGCCCAGGACCAAAUUUUUCUGGUAUGACAGAAGAAUAUUACAUGAAAAAAAAAAAAAUCUGUUCUCGCUGAAUCCGAAAUAUUUCUAUUUGGGUUCAGUACACAAGAGGUUUGAAAAAUUCAGACACACUCUUAUUUUACCAGUCCCUCAAAUAUUACCAGAGUGCUAAGUUUCAACAAUUCAAGUAUGGACUUCUCUUGUCAAUUAUCUAAAACAAAAGUUCCUAACCUGGGAGAAAUUCUGCCCUCCAGGGGACACUUGACAAUGUCUGGAGACAUUGUUGGCUGUCACAUAUGGAGGAUAGGGGGACUAUUGGCAUCUAGAGGGGACAGGUCAGGGAUGCUGCUAAACAUCCUGCAAUGCACAGGGCAACUCGGCAACAAAGAAUUAUCCAGCCCCAAAAGUCAGUAGUGCCGCUAUUGAGAAACCCUGAUCCAAAGUAACAAUUCUUUUAGGAAACAUAAAUGCUAUUAUUGACUUACCAGCAUCUGAACUAUAUAGUAGCUUUUUCUGUACCCAGGACUGCUGUCACUGCUUUCUUCUGGCAAACCAAGCACCCCUUUCUAUAAACAGAAAAAUGAAGUUGUCUUAGAACCCCUUUUUUCUUUUGGUCUGUUGCUUCCUUUCCAAAUGGGUACCUAUUACUCAAAAUGUGGAGAAGAGCUACUCAAAGUACAUAUACUAAGUGUGUGGCUCUGGCAAGAUACAUAAUGUCUUGGAUAAAAUGGGAACCGUGCAAACAGACUCAGGGCAAGUCAAGGGCCAGAAGCGGUCUCUGUCCCCAUCCCUCCUUCUCACCGGAGCCCUGGCCUCACAUACUCUCUUGCCUUGUGUUUCUGUGUCUCUGCUCUGCAGCCAGAACCAACCUUGGCCUUCUCAUCUCAGCUUCCUCCUCGGCUGGGACCUCAGAGACGGUGCAAGUUGGUCUGUGAGCCCAUGUGCAAAAUUACCCCUGACACCACCCCACGCCCCCUCAGCCAGACCCCAGGAGCAAGCCAGGUUUCAACUUUGACUUUUAUCUUCUCCCCCCAAAAACACACACCUUUUCAGCUAUGUGUGUAUGUUGGCUAAAAUUCCCUUUUUUUUUUUUUCUAACUUCAGAGGAUUUCCACUUAGAUCUUCACAUUAGGCCCUUUGUGACAUCCUGUAAUGUUCCAAAAUGUUUUUAGUCCCUUGGAUGAAUUAAGUGAAUAAUAAUGCCAAAAGUAUCUCAUGAAAAAAAAUGUAUAAAUAGAAAGCAUCGCUCUGAAUAUAAAAUUAUCAAAAUCAGUGGUUAAAACGGUAUGCUCUCACUUCUGAUACCAGCCCUAUGAAGAAGGCAUACAGGAAGCGCAGAUGUCCUUUGUUCCUGAAGCCAUAACUGGGCUGCUAUGAACUAAGUAUUUGUGUCCCCCUACAAUUCAUAUAUUGAAACCCUAAUUCCCAAUGUGAUAGUUUGGAGGUGGGGCCUUUGGAACGUAAUUAGGUUGUGAGGUUGGAGUCCUCAUGACUGGGCUUGGUGCUUUUAUAAGACAAGACACCAGAGAGCUUGCUUCCUCUCUCUCUGCCAUGUGCGGAUACAAGAUGGUCGUCUGCAAAUCAAAAAGAGAGGCUUCACCAGGAAUGGUUUGGCCGGCACCUUGAUCUUGGACUUCCCAGCCUCCAGAACUGGGGGAAAUCAGUUCUUAUUGUUUGAAUCACCCAGUCUAUGAUAUUUUGUACAGCAGCCCAAGCAGACUAAAACACGGACUCAGCAGGAAAGAGCGCCAAGAUCAAUUAGCAAUGUCCAUCCUGAUUAAGCCAAAUGGGCAGCGAUGAACGGGUGAGAACCAGGGACAAUAUUGCCGAGUCUAGAUGCCUAUGCUGGGUGACCAGCCAGACUGACUUGCUAGGUUAGUCAUUUGUUCCCAUAAAUCAGUCAAUAGCAACACACAAUUCAAGUUUCCACAAAAUGACAAAUUAUAUGUUACAGACUUCUAGGUUGCUCGUGAAUAAUGGGGACUGUGAUGACAAAGCCCAAACUUUCACUCUGAGGUACCCCACCAGCAAAAGAGUGGAUGCCGUUCCUCUAGAGGCCUAGUAGGAAAGCCAUUGCCUACUGAAAUAUAUGCUGGAGUCUCCCAUUUCCUCUUAAAUAUUUACGUGAAUUUUGAACUCUGUGCCACAAUACGCUUAUUAUACUAUUUAUAUGUUUUAAAUCACCAGUUAAAUUUUUCUCAACAAAAAUCUUCCAGGAAACUAGUGGGAUCUAGUUCCCUGACCAGGGAUUGAACCCAGGCUCCCUGCAUUGGGAGCGCAGAGUCUUAACUCACCACACCACCAGGGAAGUCCCUAUAAUAAUGUCCCAGUCUUCAAAGAUGUAUCAUGUUGAGCUCAUGGCUUGGCCCACCUCUGACCUGCCACCGGGUCCUCUGAAGGAGCACAUUGUGAUAGAUGAGAAGGGUGGGUGUGAUACAUCACAUGCCCUAAAUGGACUUUGGUAGGUGUGGCAGGUCGAACCGUGUUCCCUAGAAAGACCUGUACCAGUUCUAACCCUCAGUACUGUGACUGUGACCUUUGGAAAUAGGGCCUUUGCAGAUAUAAUUGAGGAUCUCCAGAUGAGUUCAUCCUGGAUUUAACCCAAUAAGAGAGUUUUAAGACACAGAGAAACAGGGGAGAAGGCCUUGCGAGGAUGGAGGCAAAGACUGGAAUUAUGCUGCCACCAGCCAAGGAACUUCAAGAGCCAGUAGAAGCUGGAGGAGGCAAGGAAGGGUUCUCCCUGAAAGCCUUUGGAGAACACAUGGCCCUGCUGACACCGUGACUUCUGACUUCUAGACUCUGAGAAUAAACUUCUAUCGUUUUAAGUCACCAGGUUUGUGCUAAUUCGUUACAGCAGCCCUAGGAAAUACACGUAAGAACUAUAAAAAUUACAAUUCCAAAGAUAAUACCGCCAAUAUCUGAACCCUGCUCUGACCGUGUGUCAGAAGUCCAUUUUAACCACUGAUCUCAGGCAAAGGGGCAAAGCUACAAUGAAUCUGAAAUCCAGUCUCCAAACAGCUCUGCUAACUACCCUCACAGAUGCUUUGCAAAAUAGAUCUUUAUCUUAAGAACAUUAUAGGUGUUUUUGACCAAAUGCAGGCCAUAACCAAAAAUAUACAAAUUCGGAUGAAUCCCAAGAAAAAAUUCUUGCCUAUAAAAAUUGGAUUUGUAUCUCAAAAUACUUUGACCUCAUAAGUGGCCUUGGCUGAACAUUCGUCCUUGAUGCUCACCUACUGCCUAUUACCAUUCUGUAAAAGUAUCUGGUGGUUUAUUUAAUUGUGAAGAUUGUCAGAAGAUGUAUUUCAAUAUUUUUAAAAGUAUCUUAAAAUAGCAUAAAGGCCUAAUGCAUCUGGCAUUGGCAAAUAUGACUUGGAAAAUCAAUUCCAUAUAUUUUUAGACCAUACUACCAGACAAUUUGGUCAUAUCCAUCCAUGUAAUUAGAAGAGUUGGAAAAUGGGGCACUCUCUAGCAGUAUAAAUUGAAAACUUUGAAAAUGUUCCACAAAAUGCUAGAAAAGGAAAAAUCAUUUUAUACAUGGCUGAUGAGAGAGAAUCGAUUAGAAAACAAAACCAAAAUAAGCGAGUUCAGGAUGCUGAAGGUGAUAUUAAUGUUCUGACUUUGUAAAUAUUAAAAACAUUA